rnacentral:rRNA from 1 species
AGUGAACGCUGGCGGUAGGCCUAACACAUGCAAGUCGAACGGCAGCACAGUAAGAGCUUGCUCUUACGGGUGGCGAGUGGCGGACGGGUGAGGAAUACAUCGGAAUCUACUUUUUCGUGGGGGAUAACGUAGGGAAACUUACGCUAAUACCGCAUACGACCUACGGGUGAAAGCAGGGGAUCUUCGGACCUUGCGCGAUUGAAUGAGCCGAUGUCGGAUUAGCUAGUUGGCGGGGUAAAGGCCCACCAAGGCGACGAUCCGUAGCUGGUCUGAGAGGAUGAUCAGCCACACUGGAACUGAGACACGGUCCAGACUCCUACGGGAGGCAGCAGUGGGGAAUGCUGGACAAUGGGCGCAAGCCUGAUCCAGCCAUACCGCGUGGGUGAAGAAGGCCUUCGGGUUGUAAAGCCCUUUUGUUGGGAAAGAAAAGCAGCAGGUUAAUACCCCGCUGUUCUGACGGUACCCAAAGAAUAAGCACCGGCUAACUUCGUG